rnacentral:rRNA from 1 species
GACGAACGCUGGCGGCGUGCUUAACACAUGCAAGUCGAACGGAAAGGCCCUGCCUUUGUGGGGUGCUCGAGGGGAGAACGGGUGAGUAGCACGUGAGUAACCUGCCCUUGACUUUGGGAUAACUUCAGGAAACUGGGGCUAAUACCGGAUAGGAGCUCCUGCUGCAGGGUGGGGGCUGGAUAGUUUCGGCGGUUGGGGGUGGACUCGCGGCUUAUCAGCUUGUUGGUGGGGUAGUGGCUUACCAAGGCUUUGACGGGUGGCAGGGCUGGUAUGGGGACCGGCCACAUUGGGACGGAGAUGCGGCCCAGACUCCUACGCGAGGCAGCAGUGCGGAAGAUUGCACAAUGGGCGGAAGCCUGAUGCAGCAACGCCGCGUGCGGGAUGACGGCAUUCGGGUUGUAAUCCGCUUUCGCCUGUGACGAAGCGUGAGUGACGGUAAUGGGUAAAGAAGCUCCGGCUAACUACGUG